UGUGAAAAAUUUAUAAGUCUGAUAUUUCACAAUUCAACAGAUAUAUGAAGUCAUAAAUUCAAUAUAUACACAUGAUUAUACACAAUAAUCAAACAUCAAGACAUAUUCAAACCGUAAACCAGCCAAGAAGAACACCCAGGGUGUAAAUCAAAAAUCAAGACAUUUUCAA